UACGGAAGGCAGCGGUGGGGAAUAUUGCACAAUGGGCGCAAGCCUGAUGCAGCCAUGCCGCGUGUAUGAAAAAGGCCUUCGGGUUGUAAAGUACUUUCAGUCGUGAGGAAGGUGUUAAGGUUAAUAACCUUAGCAAUUGACGUUAGCGACAGAAGAAGCACCGGCUAACUCCGUGCCAGCAGCCGCGGUAAUACGGAGGGUGCGAGCGUUAAUCGGAAUUACUGGGCGUAAAGGGCACGCAGGCGGUUAAUUAAGUUGGAUGUGAAUCCCCGGGCUUAACCUGGGAAUGGCAUUCAAGACUGGUUAGCUAGAGUCUUGUAGAGGGGGGUAGAAUUCCAUGUGUAGCGGUGAAAUGCGUAGAGAUGUGGAGGAAUACCGGUGGCGAAGGCGGCCCCUGGACAAAGACUGACGCUCAUGUGCGAAAGCGUGGGGAGCAAACAGGGAUUAGAUACC
rnacentral:rRNA from 1 species